UUCGCACUUACUCAUUUGUUAUGAUUAGUUUUGAUUUUUCUAGAAAGAGAUUAAAAAACAUAUUAAUUCUUCUACCUCCAACCCUGAAUUAGUUUUGUCUCUUUUAUGCCUAAGGACGCCCAUCCCACCAAUUAGUUGCUGCCCACACACCACACCACACCACCCACCAGUCGGCAUCCAUCCACCACCCACCAGUCGGCAUCCAUCCACCACCCACCAGCCGCCAUCCACGAUCCGAACCACCACACACACCACGCGAACCACCACGGGAACCACCACCCACGAUAAUCUGCACGCGAUGCUGCUCACCUACAAUCCGAACGCCGACCAACUCUUCACCCGAAUGAGAUCCAAACGCCUGCAAUCCGAACGUUGAUCAUCUCUACACGCGAACCACGUCGUCGGUCACCUGCAAUUCGAACAGCAGCCAUCCCUUUUCUCAACUUCAUUCGACUUCAAGGUUCCACAACCCGAUUUUAAGUCUAGAGAAUAACCGGUCAACACUAGUGGUGGUCUCGGCUUUAAGUUCGUGAGAAAAUUAUGAGCAUAGGGAUGCUUCAAAGAUGAGUUUUUCUUUUAACCCUAAUUUUAUAUAAUCAAGGGAGUUUCCAAGCAUGUUAAUUAUUAAAUAGUUUAGUUAUAAUUAGAUUAAAAUUGAUUCUUAUUCCACUACACAUGUCUCUUGGUUUUUUCUUUUUUUUGGUGGUAUCAGAGCAUGUUUAAUUUUACUCAAUUGCAUAUGGUGGGUAUCAAAUUUAAUAUAUAAAUUGUAUAAUGAACUAAAAUGGAUAUAUUAUGGUUUUGACCUUAAAUGAGGUGUUAUUUGUAAUAUUUAUUGUAAUUGGUACAGUUUUGUGACUUAAUUAUUGUGGUCGAUGAUCUGUAGUUUUUUUUCUAAGAGUCUUUAGAGUCCAAAUUAGGCAGUAAUUGCUUUAACUAGAAGAGAGAAAAUAAAAAAAAUCGAAGAAAUUCAAAAGACAGACCCAUUUUUCAGCUUCAUACCCGUUUGGAGCCCUGAACUGAUCCAGAAACCCGCUCAAAAACCCGAUCCCAGUGUGCGACCCAUUCUAUCCCUCACCCGACCCGGCCCUGCCCAAGCCCAGCAUGCGGCCCACCAUUCUUUCGACCCAGCCUAGCUCACUCCUACCUGCUUCGCACCAGAUCUGAUUUAGUUUGCCUCUUCUCUACUUGCGCCACUUGUCUGCACCGGGUUUUUGCUUGACCGGCUCCGACCCAAUCCAUUUGCUUUUGACCCGCGCACGCUGAAGGUUAUUUCAGUGGUUUUUGGGUCGAUUCACUUGUUUCUUGGGCUAGUUCAAGGAGUUUUUGGGUCGGUCCAAGUUGAUUUUAGUGGUUUUCAAACCAAUUCGAGUGGUUCAGAAUUAUGUACUUCACAGACUCAUUAUUGUAAUAGUUUAUUAUUUAGCUUAACUUUAAGAGCCAAAGUUAAUCUAUUUCAAGAUGUUUUUAUUAAUUAGGCAUGUGAUGUAUGUUUUAAUUAAACUUGAAUUGUAUAUGUAUAAAGUAUGUUAUAAUAGUUAUAAUGUAUA